GAAAAAAAAAUCAUUGUAUUUUGUCUUGCAGUGCUGCAUGAUUGAAUCUUUACAAAAACAAUUAAUUUAUGGUGUCUUACGGUAACGGAUUAGUAUGAAGUUGGCAUCCAUUGAGAUUUGUGCACUCAUCGCAUGGCCUUCGUUUAAGUCCUCCACUGACUAAAAUGAUUUCCAUUGACUAACGAGACUCGAUAAUUGUACGAAGGUGGAUUUGUGCACUCAUCGCAUGGCCUUUGUUUAAGUCUUCCAUUGACUAAAAAGAUUUCCGUUCUACCGGACUCAAUUGUCAAGUCGUCCAUUGGUAAACAACUGAACAUCUGUUGAAGAAGUGAUGAUGAGGCUCUGAAGAAGAUGUCUCCAAGAUUUCUACUGGAAGGAAAAGAUAUGAAGGAAAAUAGUAAUAGAAAAGCUAAAAAUAAUGGAAUUUUCGUGUAGUUUGGUGAUCAAAGCAUGGAGGGCAAAGGAAUAGUUAUCAGACGAAGCAACAUAUGAUUCAAAGGCAGUUGGGAC
rnacentral:sRNA from 1 species